UCCCAUUCUGCCCUCCCCAGGGACCCCAAGGGCUCCCUUGGCAGAGGAAACCACCCCACCCUCGGCUGAGAGAGGAGACCAGAGGUCCGCCCAAGUAACCACCAGGAGCUGCGAGGGCUGUUGCUCCCACCCGCCAGGACCCAGGGGAGAUGCUCCUGGGUGGGACCCGAGACUGGAAGGGCUUCCUGUCCCUUCUCCACCCCACCUCCCUUUCUGUGUUUUGUUCCAGACACACCCUCAGCUCAGAUUUGCUUGGAAGGCCAGUGAUUUCCACUCUUUCUUUUCAAAACAACCACACAGUUCUGGGACCCAAAUGUUGAUUGUCCUCAUGGAGGAAUGAGUCUCUGUCCACAGCAAGAACAUUCCAGAAAUGUCCAUCCAGCAUCGUCAGUGCGCCAGACAUCCAGGAGGGCCCACAGAUGGACCACACCUUGUCCAUGUUCCCAGGACGCUCCCUCCUACAAAACCACACACCCGAUGAUGGGCCAGGAGGAGCAUGGAUUUGCUACGACUGACAUCUACUUCCAAAGGACAUGCAGAGAGUUAAUGAGAUGGGUCAGGUUAAGCAGCACAGCUCAGUGGCUGCGACCCCACAACCUGCCCAUGUGGACUCAAGUCACAAGCUACCAUGACAUCAGGAAGAAGACCCAGGAGACAUGACUUCUACCUGUAGGAUGUGGG
rnacentral:lncRNA from 1 species